AUCUGGGCGGCGGAAUUCAGGAUGGCCGGCAUACUCUCGCAGUGUGUCGGUCGUUUGAUAUUUCCGUCGCCAACAAACCUGCAGACGUCGCGACCUGUUCGCGGUCGGUCCCUGCUCGGAGGAGCCACGUUCGAGCUCGUUGUGUGCGCGUUUCGGCGCGUCACACGGCGAAGGCGUGGAUCUCUGGCUGGCCGUCGGACAGUAUGCUUAGCGGUGUCCGGUGUCGUCGUCUUGUACGCGCGGCACCGGUACCGGUCAGCGACGAAUUCUUCGGGCCUCUUUCCGACCCGUCUUGAAACACGGACCAAGGAGUCUAACAUGCGCGCGAGUCGCGGGGUAUCGAGCGUACUUCGGUGCGUUCGUUAUGUUGCGAAACCCGUACAUGUCGAAGGCGUAAUGAAAGUGAAUGGGGAAGAUGGUGUUCCGAGUUCACGUUCCGCGAUCGUCGGUAUCGCGGCCGGACACCCGCAUUCCCGGGGCGUCUCAACGGCCCGUCGCUGAUGCGGACAGUCGUCUCUCGGGGCGGCUGUCGGUCGGCGACGAACCGA
rnacentral:rRNA from 1 species